rnacentral:rRNA from 1 species
GUAGGGAAUAUUGGGCAAUGGAGGCAACUCUGACCCAGCCAUGCCGCGUGCAGGAUGACGGCCCUCUGGGUUGUAAACUGCUUUUAUACGGGAAGAAAAAAUACUACGUGUAGUAUACUGACGGUACCGUAAGAAUAAGGAUCGGCUAACUCCGUGCCAGCAGCCGCGGUAAUACGGAGGAUCCAAGCGUUGUCCGGAUUUAUUGGGUUUAAAGGGUGCGUAGGCGGAUCUUUAAGUCAGUGGUGAAAGCCUGCAGCUUAACUGUAGAAUUGCCAUUGAAACUGAAGAUCUUGAAUGUGGGUAAAGUAGGCGGAAUGUAUCAUGUAGCGGUGAAAUGCUUAGAUAUGAUACAGAACACCGAUAGCGAAGGCAGCUUGCUGAACCAUUAUUGACGCUGAGGCACGAAAGCGUGGGGAGCGAACAGGAUUAGAUACCCGGGUAGUCC